rnacentral:misc_RNA from 1 species
CGGAGACGGUGGCCUAGAUUUCAUCCAAUCAAACGGUUCACAACUUUCAUCAUCAUUUUGCUUCUCAUCAUCACCCAUCUUCUUGAUGCACCACAAAUCUUCAGCCCAAGAGAACUUCCUCCAAUGUGGGAUCAAUCUCUAACAGGGUCAAGGUGGCCCACUUCAGCCACAACGGCCCCACAUCCAUCAUCAUCUUUAGCCAUAUUAUGAGCGAAGGCACACAGAGCCUUCAAUAGCCGCGAAGCACUGUUGCCUUCCUUGUAUAGACCAUGCAAGAAAUAGACACCAAAUUGUCUGAAUACAUCAGGAAAAGAAGGCAACCUUAGCCAUGGCAUCCAAGAAUCCAGCAACCUAGAACCCACACAACAUGCAUAUUUGAACUUGGAAACUCCUUUCACUUGCAAUUUGAACACUUCCUUCGUGUUCCAAACACUCAGGAGAGCAAAACUUGAGGGAAGAAUCCCUGUCUUAGGAUCCCAUUUAGGGAGGGAUUUUUUGGGCAUGGCCAUAAAUGUGCCCAAAUUGAGCUUGCUAGACAAAAUUGUGUCAAUAUCUUUAGGGAAAAAUUCUGCACUGUUGCCAAAUACUCCGCGAUAGAGUGUUCCGGCGAGUUUCGGGGUUAGCCGGACGAUGGCAAUGCCAGAGCCUAUUGUCUUGUAAUGGGCAUGAACCGGUUGCACCAACAUUGAAAGGGUACGAAAUUUUGUGUAAGAACAUUUUCUCGUGAAUAAAUUGAUUGAAGGUUCAUUGGUACAAUCUGUAGCCAUGUAUGCAUACUCUGCCCCUUUUUGCUUGCACCAUUCUUCUAUUUCUUGAACCAAUUUGGUGCCAAUGCCAAGCCUCCUG